CGGGAAACUGAAGCUAAUACCGGAUGAUGACGAAAGUCCAAAGAUUUAUCGCCCAGGGAUGAGCCCGCGUAGGAUUAGCUAGUUGGUGGGGUAAAGGCCUACCAAGGCGACGAUCCUUAGCUGGUCUGAGAGGAUGAUCAGCCACACUGGGACUGAGACACGGCCCAGACUCCUACGGGAGGCAGCAGUAGGGAAUAUUGGACAAUGGGCGAAAGCCUGAUCCAGCAAUGCCGCGUGAGUGAUGAAGGCCUUAGGGUUGUAAAGCUCUUUUACCCGAGAUGAUAAUGACAGUAUCGGGAGAAUAAGCUCCGGCUAACUCCGUGCCAGCAGCCGCGGUAAUACGGAGGGAGCUAGCGUUGUUCGGAAUUACUGGGCGUAAAGCGCACGUAGGCGGCGAUUUAAGUCAGAGGUGAAAGCCCGGGGCUCAACCCCGGAACUGCCUUUGAGACUGGAUUGCUAGAAUCUUGGAGAGGCGAGUGGAAUUCCGAGUGUAGAGGUGAAAUUCGUAGAUAUUCGGAAGAACACCAGUGGCGAAGGCGGCUCGCUGGACAAGUAUUGACGCUGAGGUGCGAAAGCGUGGGGA
rnacentral:rRNA from 1 species